rnacentral:rRNA from 1 species
GUCGACGGUAGCAGGCCUUCGGGUGCUGACGAGUGGCGGACGGGUGAGUAAUGCGUAGGAAUCUGUCUUUUAGUGGGGGACAACCCAGGGAAACUUGGGCUAAUACCGCAUGAGCCCUGAGGGGGAAAGCGGGGGAUCUUCGGACCUCGCGCUAAGAGAAGAGCCUACGUCUGAUUAGCUAGUUGGUAGGGUAAAGGCCUACCAAGGCGACGAUCAGUAGCUGGUCUGAGAGGACGACCAGCCACACUGGGACUGAGACACGGCCCAGACUCCUACGGGAGGCAGCAGUGGGGAAUUUUUCGCAAUGGGGGCAACCCUGACGAAGCAAUGCCGCGUGGAUGAAGAAGGCCUUCGGGUUGUAAAGUCCUUUCGUGGGGGACGAAAAGGUGGUUCCUAAUACGAGCUACUGUUGACGUGAACCCAAGAAAGAAGCACCGGCUAACUCCGUGCCAGCCGCCGCGGUAAUAC